AAAAAAAGUUAAAAUCAAGAUAUCAGGAUUCUUCCAAUUCUAAUUACUCUAUUUACCAUCUGUUAAUGUAAUCUAAUUUGGUACAUAUUUAUAGGCCACAUAGGUCAUUAAAUCGUUGGGUUGAUGAUAUGAGAAUGAAGGAGAUGACUUUGGCCAAAUGGCUUAAAUGGCUUUGGAAGUUUCUGCUUUGCUUCUUGUGCUUCUGCUGCGGCCUUGAGAAGCAUGUGCCUGGUUCCAAGAGGAGGAUGAAGAACAUAAAGACUGGAGACAUCACAUCUGGGUCACCCCAGCCAAGUUCCGCCUGAGCAAGGAAGCCUGCACUCACCUGGAGAUUCACAAGUGAUAAUGAACAGUCACUGACUGUCUAAAGUCACUGCCUUUGAGAGUGGUUUGUUGUACAGCAGCAAUUAUCUGAUACAGUAAGACUCAUUUGUUCACUCA
ensembl:lncRNA